rnacentral:rRNA from 1 species
UACAGAGGUCCCGAGCGUUGUUCGGAUUCAUUGGGCGUAAAGGGUGCGUAGGCGGCGGGGAAAGUCUGAUGUGAAAUCCUGGGGCUCAACCCUGGAACUGCAUUGGAUACUUCCUUGCUAGAGUACUGGAGAGGAAACUGGAAUUUACGGUGUAGCAGUGAAAUGCGUAGAGAUCGUAAGGAAGACCAGUGGCGAAGGCGAGUUUCUGGACAGUUACUGACGCUGAGGCACGAAGGCCAGGGGGAGCAAACGGGG